UACGUAGGGUGCAAGCGUUAAUCGGAAUUACUGGGCGUAAAGGGCGCGUAGGCGGCCUACUAAGUCAGACGUGAAAUCCCCAGGCUUAACUUGGGAACUGCGUCUGAUACUGGAAGGCUUGAGUGCGGGAGAGGGAUGUGGAAUUCCAGGUGUAGCGGUGAAAUGCGUAGAUAUCGUAAGGAAGACCAGUGGCGAAGGCGGGUCUCUGGACAGUUCCUGACACUGAGACACGAAGGCCAGGGGAGCAAACGGG
rnacentral:rRNA from 1 species